rnacentral:rRNA from 1 species
AGAGUUUGAUCCUGGCUCAGGACGAACGCUGGCGGCGCGCUUAACACAUGCAAGUCGAACGAGAACCAGUCCUUCGGGGCUGGGGAAAGUGGCGAACGGGUGAGUAACACGUGGGUAAUCUGCCCUCGGCACCGGAAUAGCCCGGGGAAACCCGGAUUAAUGCCGGAUAGCCUCUCGAGCCCUCGGGUUCGUGAGAAAAGGUAGCUUCGGCCUCUGGCCGAGGAGGAGCCCGCGGCGGAUUAGCUUGUUGGUGAGGUAACGGCUCACCAAGGCGACGAUCCGUAGCUGGUCUGAGAGGACGAUCAGCCACACUGGGACUGAGACACGGCCCAGACUCCUACGGGAGGCAGCAGUGGGGAAUCUUGCGCAAUGGGCGAAAGCCUGACGCAGCGACGCCGCGUGCGGGAAGAAGGCCUUCGGGUUGUAAACCGCUUUCAGGAGGGACGAAGCCACUCGGGUUAAUAGCCCAGAGGGUGACGGUACCUCCAGAAGAAGCCCCGGCUAACUACGUGCCAGCAGCCGCGGUA